rnacentral:rRNA from 1 species
AGUGAACGCUGGCGGUAUGCCUAACACAUGCAAGUCGAACGGCAGCACAGUGGGAGUUUGCUGUUAGGAAAGGGGCGCCGCGGUAGAGGUAGGUUGACACCGGCAGGUAGUUUGUCGAGGGGGCUACAAAAGGGCGAAUGAGGCCGCAACCGCUUGGGACCUGCGGGAGAGAGCGGGCCAAAUCCGGAACUUGCGCGAUUGGCUGUGCCGAUGGCGGAUUAGGUAGUUGGUGGGGUAAAGGCGCACCAAGGCGACGAUCCGUACCUGGUCUGAGAGGAUGGUCAGCCACACUGUAACUGAGACACGGCCCAGACUCCGACGGGAGGCAGCAGUGGGGAAUAUUGGACAAUGGGCGCAAGCCUGAUCCAGCCAUGCCGCGUGGGUGAAGAAGGCCUUCGGGUUGGAAAGCACUUUUGUUGGGAAAGAAAAGCCUCAGUCUAAUACGGCGCGGUCAUGACGGUACCCGAAGAAUAAGCACCGGCUAACUCCGUG